rnacentral:lncRNA from 1 species
CAGGAAGCGGUUGAGGAAUGAAUUUUCCCUCUCGGAGCUAGUGCUGGCAUUACUGGGACUUGCGGCUGCCCCGCCAAGGGGCCGUCUGUCAUUUCAGAUCUGCCAGAGUCACCCCACAUGAAACGUGUUUGGAUAUUCUGAGUCCUGCUAUGCAGCAAGCACUAAGCUGAGCCCACGAGACAACGUUGAGGGACCUUGGUCCAAGGUGGGUGUCCAGCUGGGAGUGAACCACGCCAAUGCUACAGGAGGGAUGGACACCAAGGAAGAGAAAAAGAGGGUGGUGUGAAAGGGAAACCUAUUCGGUAGAAUCCAUACUUUGAAUUUCGAUCUCGUCUGGGUCUAGUGCUAUGCAGUCCAAUACUCUCUCAACGCUGAGCAGCUGCAGCUCCCAGGAAGCCAUGUGAUCACCAGGGUAGACAACCAAUACCCUACAGUGUUCUGUGUCGCCAGGUAAUUUUGCCAACUGGAGGCUAAGGUAAGUGUUCUGGGCACUUUUAAGGUAGGCA